ACUUGUCACAUUUUUAUUGGUCAUUUAAUUCAAACUUAAAAUCCUAAGAUCCCAAAUGCCAUGAGUUGACCAUCUUACCCCCAACUUAACCUUCCUAAAUGACCUGAAUAACCCUCUGUCAUAUCUCAAACCCUAAUCUUCUCCUCAUACGCCUCUUUUUUCUUUUCUAUGGCAGAAAGUGUUUGUCCCUUUGUCCAUUUUUGAUUGAUUCCCACCCUUCCAUCAACCAAGUUUAGAUUUUUCCCUUCUCAAUUCGAGUAAAGAUUCUGCUUUGCUACUGAUUUCAGCACCUCAUAGGAAGGUUUUCCAAAUUUAUGUAUCAGGAGAGUCAAAUAUCUCCGAUUCAGACCAAGACUUCUCCAUUUUCGGGUAAGAUCUGAAAUCGUAUCUUCAAUACAAGACAAACAUCGAUGAGUUCGAGCAAGGAUGACAAACGUUUACCUCUGCACUUCUGUUUAUAUUUCCCUUUUCUAACAAAGAAAUAUGAUUUUUGCUCUGCCCAAAAAAUCACUCUGAGAUUUGGCCAUUUUCUAACGUUUGCAAUCCCUAUUUUCAAAAACCCCGCCCAAAGUCAACCUUAAGAACCCUAGCUCGUAGCUAUAAAUAGGACCCUUUAGCAUUCAUUUAGGAGAGGUGGAACAACCACGACAUCUCAUCCUAAAAAAAAAACAACAAGAACAACCAUUGCGUCUUGCUAAAAAAAAAAACAGCCGCAUAUCAUCCUAAACCUCUAUAUUUUACCUUUUCCGUUUGAAACUUUGGUUAAUCUAAGUGGGUUCGGGUUCGUCGUGUUUUGAGUCUGGAUCCGGGACCUAAAAACUCUAGUUGACUGCACACGAGAAAGUUACGAGGAGUCUCAAACUAGACUCGAUAUUCCCGUUAGAUCAAGGAAAACUUGCAUUUCGCCCUAUCAAGUAUCUAUCGCUCUAUGCAUUCGAACGAAGUCGAAAAGGGAUAACGAAGUUAUCAUCCCUCAUUAUUCAGUUCCUCGCCCUCUCCCAUCCGAAUUGAAAAAUGAAAUGGGAGCAGGGGAAUCCUCUAUCUUAGUUCUCUUUUAUUUGAUUCGGUCAUAACCUUGCUAUUUUAGUAAUGUUUCUAACGUGAUCCUCUUAAUAUUGAGUAUAGGACCAAUACUGGUAUUAACUUAGAAAUAAUAGUUGAUAUAAGGGGAAACCGGUAGUUUUUUUAGAAGUCCUUUAUAAUAUUUAUAAUGUUUUCAAUGUUUUGAGAAUUUAGGUGUAUAUUGGUAGGCUUUUUUUAUUUCACUGGUAGUAUUGCAUAGAAGAAGAAGACGUGGUUCAUUUUUAAGCUUGUUCCAAACUGACUUUUGAACCUGGGCAACUUCCUUUGAGAUAAUUAAAAGUUGAUUUUCUACA